UACGUAGGGGGCAAGCGUUGUCCGGAAUCAUUGGGCGUAAAGCGCGCGUAGGUGGCCUCGUAAGUCCGCUGUGAAAGUCAAAGGCUCAACCUUUGAAAGCCGGUGGAUACUGUGAGGCUAGAGUACGGAAGAGGCGAGUGGAAUUCCUGGUGUAGCGGUGAAAUGCGCAGAUAUCAGGAGGAACACCUAUUGCGAAGGCAGCUCGCUGGGACGUAACUGACGCUGAGACGCGAAAGCGUGGGGAGCAAACAGG
rnacentral:rRNA from 1 species